rnacentral:lncRNA from 1 species
AAACUAAAAUUAGAAUCAUGAUUUAGAAAACACAUUGUCACAUUUUAUAAUGAGGUACAUUUUCACAUCUACUUGAUCACUCAGCAAGUACAGUGUGCCGCAUUGUACAACGAGCCACAUGUCUCAAAAUAAGAAAACAAAUGCACUUCGCUACAUUGUACAAUGAGCUCCACUACAACACCGUUAUGGAGGGCCAUUCACAUAUUCCUAUUGCCAUGCAUGCUAGGCGCCCAAUUAACACUGAACACUUCUCUAUAUACCCGGAAACGGAACGGUUAUGUAUGAGUUUACACUUAUCACUUUCUCACUACAUCUAGAAACGGAAUGGUUAUGUAAAGGUACACUGAAGUCUAGCAUCAUGUAGGUGCUUUUGGAACGAGUUGACUCGAUAACGAGUAAUGCACAUUUAUCAAAAUCACUUUUCAUAACACAUGGACAAAAUAACAUUUAAAACACAAUAACCCUUUCACAAAACACUUGCACUUUAUAUAUGAAAUACGUAUAAACUACUAAUGAAAAUACUUGAAAACUACAUAAACCAUGCAAUUACAAUAUCCACUUACCUCAGGUUCGAUGCAAUCAAUUUAAGCUCUCUCUAUUUGAGAAGAGAUUCCCCUUAUUUUUUUCUCAGUUACCUCUAGUCAUUCAGGUAGAGUCUCCC